rnacentral:tRNA from 1 species
GCCUGGGUGGCUCAGUCGGUUAAGCGACGGGCUUCAGUUCCGGUCAUAUCACGGUUUAUGGAUUCAAGCCCCACCUCAGGCU